UCUGCCUCUAGAGGCAUUGUAUGUGUGGCUGCUGUGUCUCAUGUGUGUCAGUAGGUGGCAGAGAGGAGACAGGCUAUGCCUACUCUCAGUGUACUUAUGUAUAAACAUCUGAAUGUUUUGAAGUCUAACAUU
rnacentral:snoRNA from 7 species